GGACUCCUAACAGCAGGGGUAGGGGCAGGGGCUGUUUCUGACUCUGUUGUCUGCCUUGGGGAGCCUUUCCUC
rnacentral:miRNA from 14 species